UACGUAGGAGGCAAGCGUUGUCCGGAAUUACUGGGCGUAAAGCGCGUGUAGGCGGAUGCCUAAGUCUGUGGUGAAAGCGCCUGGCUUAACCGGGCGAGGUCCAUGGAAACUAGGCGUCUGGAGGCCGGUAGAGGGGGGUGGAAUUCCGGGUGUAGUGGUGAAAUGCGUAGAGAUCCGGAGGAACACCAGUGGCGAAGGCGGCCCCCUGGGCCGCGCCUGACGCUGAGACGCGAAAGCGUGGGGAGCAAACAGG
rnacentral:rRNA from 1 species